ncrna:Ornithorhynchus anatinus (platypus) microRNA oan-mir-449c precursor
AGAAUGUGCCGGUUUGGCAGUGCUUUGCUAGCUGGCUGUUCAAUAAAUGAUUCCAGCAGCUGGUUGCACGCCCCACUGUCACAAUCC